ensembl:lncRNA
GGUCCUAUGGAGGAGGCUGCAGAGACACUGCUCUCCUCGUUUGGAUUAAUUCUGAUAUAAUAACUGUUGGUUUAUUUAUCGUUGCAGCAGCAGAACAUUUUCCACAGACAGUUUUCCUGCCCGCUGGCUUGUUUUAACCAGUUUUCUACCUUCGGCUGAUUCUACCAGCAGACACUGAAAGGACUCUGAUAGUUCGAGUGAAAGUAGCAGUUCCUCCUUAAGGUCAGACAUUGCAGCAUCUGAGGUUCUCUUCAAAAGAAGACAUAGUUGAUGAAGGCAUUCUGGAGCACGACCAGAAAGACCACGACCAAGCAGCCUUGAGAUCUUAGGCAGCGUCUCCCUCAGGUCCCUCUCUAUCUCCCCACACAUCCACCAACCACUGGAACACAUCUCCAAAGUUCUGCCAGGCCAGCUCAGCUUCCCCUCAGAAGAAGUGCUGCCACCUGCCAGAUGAAGGAGCCUUUCGAGAGGCAGCCGGCAUCGUGAUUGGACUGUACUUUGGUCUGUUCCAAUCCAGCUUCAGCUCCAGAGACGGCAGGCGGGACAAGUCAACGGAGGCCGGGUGGACGAAGGCAUGCAGCUGAGUACAAUCCAGAAAACAAUAGAGGAGGAGUGCAGCAGCCCAGGGCCAGAACAACCAGAGUAGCAUCG